rfam:Salmo salar isolate Sally breed double haploid chromosome ssa17, whole genome shotgun sequence.
AAAUGAAUGCACUGUAAGUCGCUCUGGAUAAAAGCGUCUGCUAAAUGACUAAAG